CAGAGUUGCAAAACUCCCACAAACCAUCGCGAAUCUUACCCGUACGGUUGCCUCGGCGCUGGCGGUCCGGAAGGCCCUCGGGCCCCCCGGAUCCUCGGGUCUCCCGCUCGCGGGAGGCUGCCCGCCGGAGUGCCGAAACCAAACUCUUGGUAUUUUAUGUCUCUCUGAGUAAACUUUUAAAUAAGUCA
rnacentral:misc_RNA from 1 species